GUGAGGAAUAUUGGUCAAUGGACGGAAGUCUGAACCAGCCAUGCCGCGUGCAGGAAUAAGGUCCUAUGGAUUGUAAACUGCUUUUAUUCGGGAAUAACCUCUUUACGUGUAGGGAGCUGAAGGUACCGAAGGAAUAAGCACCGGCUAACUCCGUGCCAGCAGCCGCGGUAAUACGGAGGGUGCAAGCGUUAUCCGGAAUCAUUGGGUUUAAAGGGUCCGCAGGCGGGCUAUCAAGUCAGAGGUGAAAUCCCACAGCUUAACUGUGGAACUGCCUUUGAAACGGAUGGUCUUGAAUUAAGUGGGCGUUGGCGGAAUAUGACAUGUAGCGGUGAAAUGCAUAGAUAUGUCAUGGAACACCGAAAGCGAAGGCAGCUAACGAUACUUAUAUUGACGCUCAUGGACGAAAGCGUGGGUAGCGAACAGGAUUAGAUACCCGGGUAGUCC
rnacentral:rRNA from 1 species